UCCUACGGGUGGCUGCAGCUAAGAAUAUUCCGCAAUGGACGAAAGUCUGACGGAGCGACGCCGCGUGGAUGAUGAAGGCCGAAAGGUUGUAAAGUCCUUUUGCUGGGGAAGAAUAAGUGUGGGAGGGAAUGCCCGCAUGAUGACAUGAACCGGCGAAUAAGCCCCGGCCAACUACGUGCCAGCAGCCGCGGUAACACGUAGGGGGCGAGCGUUGUUCGGAAUUACUGGGCGUAAAGGGCAUGUAGGCGGUCUGGUAAGCCUGGCGUGAAAGGCCACAGCUCAACUGUGGGAUUGCGUUGGGAACUGCUGGGCUUGAGUUAUGGAGAGGGAGCUAGAAUUCCUGGUGUAGGGGUGAAAUCUGUAGAUAUCAGGAAGAAUACCGAUGGCGAAGGCAAGCUCCUGGCCGAUGACUGACGCUGAGGUGCGAAAGUGUGGGGAUCAAACAGGAUUAGAUACCCUGGUAGUC
rnacentral:rRNA from 1 species